rnacentral:rRNA from 4 species
GACUCUCGGCAACGGAUAUCUCGGCUCUCGCAUCGAUGAAGAACGUAGCAAAAUGCGAUACUUGGUGUGAAUUGCAGAAUCCCGUGAACCAUCGAGUCUUUGAACGCAAGUUGCGCCCGAAGCCAUCCGGUCUAGGGCACGCCUGCCUGGGCGUCACGCAUCG